rnacentral:tRNA from 1 species
UGGGUUGUGGCUUAAUGGUAGAGUGCUUGCCUAGCAUGAAUGAGCAUGCUGGGUUGGGUCCCCAGCACCAUAU